rnacentral:lncRNA from 1 species
GUGAUUGUGUAUAAUUACUAUCCCAACUUACUUUAUUCUCUAUUUUUGAUACGGUGCCAAAUUAGUUAAAUAAUCUUGUUAUACAAGUGAGGGUUACUUGCAUCGAAGGUCACCUAGCUUUUACUCCAUAUGCAAUUAGAUCAUUGAACUUUAGCUAUCCGAUCACUUAACUUCAAUUUAAUUGAAAUCAAAGCAGUCUAUUCCGAAUCGACAACUAAAACUAAUGAUUAUUAGCCAUCUACUUAGUGGUCGCAUGUUAGAUAUUUACGUUGCAUAAAUGUAAUUUGACAUUUCAUUAAAUCACUUCCAUUUGGCAUUAAUAAUAGGUUUCUCCUACAUCGUUUGUAUUUUUCUAUUCAUAAAUAAUCAACUGACAAGAGUGUAUGCUCGUCAUUUCCGGAGAAUUUGAUCCAUCUUGUCAAAUUUUGAUUCUCUACAAAUAUUUAUAAUCAAAUGAAAGUCUACAAAAGUCAAAUGUUUGAGCUCAGGAUCCUUGGGGAGCAUUUGGGUAAUAUCUGCUGAAGCUCUAGAAAAUUUGUAUGCAAAAUGGGAGUGGGUGACUAUCGACAUUAUGCAAUUUUUUGAAAUGAAAAAACCAACAAUUCUAUUAAUAAAAGUUUCAUUGUCCAAAUUUUAGUGGAAGCCCAGAAACCCGCUGGCCACACUCACUCAGCCACUAUUUGCCACUGCGAGGGAAAAAAAUCUAAUUUGAAAAUGGCUCGGGCAAUUCAAGCAACUUGUGGGAAUUCGAGCAGUUUGAAAAUGUAGUAAAUGAUCAUUGAGGAAAUUCCAUCCGUAUUGGCUAACGAUAUUACCAUUGGAUAUUGAGGUGGAUAUCAAUAUGUCAGUGAGUGAAAUUGAAUUACUGGUAGUUGUAUAGUCGAUGAUAAUUAUUUACUCCUCCGCCAAUUGUUGUCGAUGACAUAGUUCUAUCGUCGAUGAUCAUUAUUUACACCUCCGCCAAUGGUUGUUGUUGACAUUAUCGUCGGUGAUGUUGCAACCAUCGAUGAUGAUUCGGUUGCUUGGGAAAGUCGUCAGUAGCAAAAAAUUUUAUAUUUCAAUAAUUUUUUGGAAUAUUUAUAAGUUACUAACAUUAAGUUAAAAUAUCUUUUUUCCUUUAUGAUGUUAUCGACAAAGAAGUUUUUUUUUUUUUUUUUAACUAUUUAUAUGGAAAUUUAUGUUAGUAUUUAAUUUUUUAUUAGUUUUUUAUUGACU